UGGGGAAUAUUGCACAAUGGGCGCAAGCCUGAUGCAGCCAUGCCGCGUGUAUGAAGAAGGCCUUCGGGUUGUAAAGUACUUUCAGCGGGGAGGAAGGGAGUAAAGUUAAUACCUUUGCUCAUUGACGUUACCCGCAGAAGAAGCACCGGCUAACUCCGUGCCAGCAGCCGCGGUAAUACGGAGGGUGCAAGCGUUAAUCGGAAUUACUGGGCGUAAAGCGCACGCAGGCGGUUUGUUAAGUCAGAUGUGAAAUCCCCGGGCUCAACCUGAGAACUGCAUCUGAUACUGGCAAGCUUGAGUCUCGUAGAGGGGGGUAGAAUUCCAGGUGUAGCGAUGAAAUGCGUAGAGAUCUGGAGGAAUACCGGUGGCGAAGGCGGCCCCCUAGACGAAGACUGACGCUCAGGUGCGAAAGCGUGGGGAGCAAACAGG
rnacentral:rRNA from 1 species